UGUGACAUUGAGUCAGAGAACACAGUCUUGCAAAAAAACUUUCAUUCUGAAAUAAUGAAAUGUAUUUUGAUGUGGUAUUUAUAUAACAUUACAAAAUGCUCUUUUUAUUAGGUACAAUCAAAGCCCAAGUGUUAUUAUUGCAUAAAUCAUCAAUAUGUUUAGAUUUUCAAUUAUGAAUUCGGACAAGUGAGUUAAGAGUUCGGACAAGUUGAUUUUCUUGCCACUUGUCCGAAGGGAUAAGUUAGAAAAU
rnacentral:lncRNA from 1 species